AUCUCUUAUGAUGCAAUUAAACUUUCGUUCUCCUGAGCUUUUAUAGUGCUGAAAAAAAUUGGAGACCUGAGCUGAAGAGUU